GAUGAACGCUGGCGGCGUGCCUAAUACAUGCAAGUCGAGCGAACGGACGAGAAGCUUGCUUCUCUGAUGUUAGCGGCGGACGGGUGAGUAACACGUGGAUAACCUACCUAUAAGACUGGGAUAACUUCGGGAAACCGGAGCUAAUACCGGAUGAUAUUUUGAACCGCAUGGUUCAAAAGUGAAAGACGGUCUUGCUGUCACUUAUAGAUGGAUCCGCGCUGCAUUAGCUAGUUGGUAAGGUAACGGCUUACCAAGGCAACGAUGCAUAGCCGACCUGAGAGGGUGAUCGGCCACACUGGAACUGAGACACGGUCCAGACUCCUACGGGAGGCAGCAGUAGGGAAUCUUCCGCAAUGGGCGAAAGCCUGACGGAGCAACGCCGCGUGAGUGAUGAAGGUCUUCGGAUCGUAAAACUCUGUUAUUAGGGAAGAACAUAUGUGUAAGUAACUGUGCACAUCUUGACGGUACCUAAUCAGAAAGCCACGGCUAACUACUUG
rnacentral:rRNA from 1 species